AUUGAACGCUGGCGGCAGGCCUAACACAUGCAAGUCGAACGAGUGGCGGACGGGUGAGUAAUGUCUGGGAAACUGCCCGAUGGAGGGGGAUAACUACUGGAAACGGUAGCUAAUACCGCAUACCAUCUGAUUUGCCCAGAUGGGAUUAGCUAGUAGGGUGGGUAACGGCUCACCUAGGCGACGAUCCCUAGCUGGUCUUAGAGGAUGACCAGCCACACGGGAACGGAGACACGGUCCAGACUCCUACGGUAGGCAGCAGUGGGGAAUAUUGCACAAUGGGCGCAAGCCUGAUGCAGCCAUGCCGCGUGUAUGAAGAAGGCCUUCGGGUUGUAAAGGACUUUCAGCGGGGAGGCGUUACCCGCAGAAGAAGCACCGGCUAACUCCGUGCCAGCAGCCGCGGUAAUAC
rnacentral:rRNA from 1 species